rnacentral:rRNA from 1 species
CCUACGGGGUGCUGCAGUGGGGAAUAUUGGACAAUGGGCGAAAGCCUGAUCCAGCCAUGCCGCGUGUGUGAAGAAGGCCUUCGGGUUGUAAAGCACUUUCAGUGGGGAAGAAAGCCUUGGGGCUAAUACCCUCGAGGAAGGACAUCACCCACAGAAGAAGCACCGGCUAACUCCGUGCCAGCAGCCGCGGUAAUACGGAGGGUGCGAGCGUUAAUCGGAAUUACUGGGCGUAAAGCGCGCGUAGGUGGUCUGAUAAGCCGGUUGUGAAAGCCCCGGGCUCAACCUGGGAACGGCAUCCGGAACGGUCAGGCUAGAGUGCAGGAGAGGAAGGUAGAAUUCCCGGUGUAGCGGUGAAAUGCGUAGAGAUCGGGAGGAAUACCAGUGGCGAAGGCGGCCUUCUGGACUGACACUGACGCUGAGGUGCGAAAGCGUGGGUAGCAAACAGGAUUAGAUACCCUGGUAGUC